rnacentral:rRNA from 1 species
GAUGAACGCUGGCGGCGUGCCUAAUACAUGCAAGUCGAGCGAACGGACGAGAAGCUUGCUUCUCUGAUGUUAGCGGCGGACGGGUGAGUAACACGUGGAUAACCUACCUAUAAGACUGGGAUAACUUCGGGAAACCGGAGCUAAUACCGGAUAAUAUUUUGAACCGCAUGGUUCAAAAGUAAAAGACGGUCUUGCUGUCACUUAUAGAUGGAUCCGCGCUGCAUUAGCUAGUUGGUAAGGUAACGGCUUACCAAGGCAACGAUGCAUAGCCGACCUGAGAGGGUGAUCGGCCACACUGGAACUGAGACACGGUCCAGACUCCUACGGGAGGCAGCAGUAGGGAAUCUUCCGCAAUGGGCGAAAGCCUGACGGAGCAACGCCGCGUGAGUGAUGAUGGUCUUCGGAUCGUAAAACUCUGUUAUUAGGGAAGAAUAUAUGUGUAAGUAACUGUGCACAUCUUGACGGUACCUAAUCAGAAAGCCACGGCUAACUACGUGCCAGCAGCCGCGGUAAUACGUAGGUGGCAAGCGUUAUCCGGAAUUAUUGGGCGUAAAGCGCGCGUAGGCGGUUUUUUAAGUCUGAUGUGAAAGCCCACGGCUCAACCGUGGAGGGUCAUUGGAAACUGGAAAACUUGAGUGCAGAAGAGGAAAGUGGAAUUCCAUGUGUAGCGGUGAAAUGCGCAGAGAUAUGGAGGAACACCAGUGGCGAAGGCGACUUUCUGGUCUGUAACUGACGCUGAUGUGCGAAAGCGUGGGGAUCAAACAGGAUUAGAUACCCUGGUAGUCCACGCCGUAAACGAUGAGUGCUAAGUGUUAGGGGGUUUCCGCCCCUUAGUGCUGCAGCUAACGCAUUAAGCACUCCGCCUGGGGAGUACGACCGCAAGGUUGAAACUCAAAGGAAUUGACGGGGACCCGCACAAGCGGUGGAGCAUGUGGUUUAAUUCGAAGCAACGCGAAGAACCUUACCAAAUCUUGACAUCCUUUGACAACUCUAGAGAUAGAGCCUUCCCCUUCGGGGGACAAAGUGACAGGUGGUGCAUGGUUGUCGUCAGCUCGUGUCGUGAGAUGUUGGGUUAAGUCCCGCAACGAGCGCAACCCUUAAGCUUAGUUGCCAUCAUUAAGUUGGGCACUCUAAGUUGACUGCCGGUGACAAACCGGAGGAAGGUGGGGAUGACGUCAAAUCAUCAUGCCCCUUAUGAUUUGGGCUACACACGUGCUACAAUGGACAAUACAAAGGGCAGCGAAACCGCGAGGUCAAGCAAAUCCCAUAAAGUUGUUCUCAGUUCGGAUUGUAGUCUGCAACUCGACUACAUGAAGCUGGAAUCGCUAGUAAUCGUAGAUCAGCAUGCUACGGUGAAUACGUUCCCGGGUCU